rnacentral:rRNA from 1 species
ACCUUACCUACCCUUGACAUCCAGAGAACUUUCCAGAGAUGGAUUGGUGCCUUCGGGAACUCUGAGACAGGUGCUGCAUGGCUGUCGUCAGCUCGUGUUGUGAAAUGUUGGGUUAAGUCCCGUAACGAGCGCAACCCUUGUCCUUAUUUGCCAGCGAUUCGGUCGGGAACUCUAAGGAGACUGCCGGUGACAAACCGGAGGAAGGUGGGGACGACGUCAAGUCAUCAUGGCCCUUACGGGUAGGGCUACACACGUGCUACAAUGGCCGGUACAAAGGGUUGCGAGACCGCGAGGUGGAGCGAAUCCCAGAAAGCCGGCCUCAGUCCGGAUCGGAGUCUGCAACUCGACUCCGUGAAGUCGGAAUCGCUAGUAAUCG